UUAAUGAAAAUUUUUGUCUAAUGAAACAGAAAAAAAUUUAACAAAGCAUGUUAUAGUUUUCAUACAGAAAAUAUUUGCAUUGUCAUCAUCUUCUCUUCAAAGGCAGAUUUUUAUGUAUUACAUUCUUGAGAGCCUUAUGCUUUUCUGUCCAAAAUUAAAGAGAACAGGUAUGAUGAGAUAGGACACUGAUAGCCAAAAAGGAGUGAAAUUGAAUUUUCAUUUUGCUGGAUCUCACCCAAGCUUUUUAAUCUUUAUGGGUUUUCAUUUCUUGUGUCAUGCAGAUUGAGUGUGCAGAUUCAUGUCUUCGUUAGUGCCCUUAAAAAUGCUUUAAAGCAUUGCUUGCAAAGUAUUAAACAUGAGCUCAUUCUGAUGGGUCUUGUAAAAUGUGAGCUCACUGCUGUGCUUGUACUCCAGCAAAACCCAACUGGAUUCCCGGCAUCAGGGGUACCCUUCAGAUAGAUUGCAAACUUUGACUCAGGUAUGAAGCUGGUGAGAGUCUAGACUUUUUUUCCAGAAUUUUGCAGAGAUCAAGUAGUUCAAUCACUUGGACAUUUUAUGUGCUUUCCUCCAUUAGAUCUCCUGCCCUAGAACAAGGUAGCAUUUUAGUCCUUUUUUGUUCUCAUAACUGGAAGUUUUGAAGUAAUGUAAAACUUCAGUAUAUAUGGAUUUCAAGACAAGAAAUGUAAGAGAAUCUAAGCACAUUUUUGCAGCAGAAUGAAGGCCAAUAACAGGAGGUCCUACUAAAACAAGCCCUUUAUGAGUGCUCUUGGAUUAGAUGAUUAAAUGCCAGUGACUACCGUGGGGUAUUACAAUGGGUAAAAAUGGUUGCUCUGCCUAAUGUCUUUAGACAUCGUUUGUCUGAGAAUUUUUGACUGAAAGAAUGAAAACUGAUUGAGCUAUUAGUGGUACUGCUAUCAUUAAUGGAGAAGUUCAUAGUCAAAUGAUGGAGAAGUGAUGUCUGGAAAUUUCUAGAGGAGAAGUUUUACUUCUCUCUAAUCCAUGCAAAACUACCUGUGCAACUCAGCAAUGGGAAAAUGCAGUGUGUGAAAAGCAGUUAGUGCAAGUUACUUUAUUGAUUUGAAGGAAUGUAAGGACUGGAUUACCGUGUGGGUGAUCCACCAGUCUCUAAAGCAGUGAAUGUUGAGAACAUUUACUACAUAGCUUGCUAUUUGAGAAACCCUUUUUUACCUUAAGAUAAUAGCAAAUUCCACUGGGUACCUACAGGAUACAAAUCUGUCACUCUUUAACUGCAAAUGGUAUGCUAUUAUUAUUAGACAACUAAACAGAAAUGGAAGGCUAUGUAAAAAUCAGAAUAAAUAAUCCUCUGUAAUGCUUCUUAGAACAUGCCAUGAAUUUUGGCCCAUCAAAACUAUCAGGACAUGCUUCUAAAAUGUUUCAUAGGUUUACCCUUACCCUAGUCUUUCAAUCACAUUGCUUAGAACAAGAAUUUUAAAAUAUCUUGUUCCUAAAAAUAACACGGACUUUCCACUGAUGCCUUAUAAAUGAUAAGCUAUGAUGGUAAA
ensembl:lncRNA